rnacentral:rRNA from 1 species
GGGAUGAGCUUGCGUCCGAUUAGCUAGUUGGCGGUGCAACGGACCACCAAGGCGACGAUCGGUAGCCGGCCUGAGAGGGUGAUCGGCCACAUUGGGACUGAGAUACGGCCCAGACUCUACGGGAGGCAGCAGUAGGGAAUAUUGCACAAUGGGGGGAACCCUGAUGCAGCAACGCCACGUGUGGGAAGAAGCAUUUCGGUGUGUAAACCACUGUCGUGAGGGAAUAAUGCUCGGUUUCGGCCGAGUUGAAUGUACCUCGAAAGGAAGCACCGGCAAACUUCGUGCCAGCAGCCGCGGUAAUACGAGGGGUGCAAGCGUUGUUCGGAAUCACUGGGCGUAAAGGGAGCGUAGGCGGAGGAGCAAGCAGUCUGUACAAUCCCGGGGCCUAACCCCGGCUCUGCAGACUGGACUGUUUCUCUUGGAUAGUUCAGGGGCAGGCGGAAUUCCUGGUGUAGCGGUGGAAUGCGUAGAGAUCAGGAAGAACACCGAUGGCGAAGGCAGCCUGCUGGGGACUUAUCGACGCUGAGGCUCGAAAGUGCGGGUAGCAAACAGGAUUAGAUACCCUGGUAGUCC